AUGACCUUCUGGUUUGUGGACAAGCAACUCAUCAGAAAGCAUCUGACAUGGCACACAUUCUCCAACACAUUUGUGCUAAGUCAGGUCAAACCCAAAAAUGGAACGAAUCUGCUAUCCUUUUCAGCACCAAUGUCCAUUUUCCCGGUUCCAACUAUGAACAGUGAUUUCACUCAUCUAGGUCACCCACUCAUUCUUUUGGCAAAAAAUAGAACCACUCCUUACAAUUUUGUGCUUGAUAAAUUUAUGGCUAAGUUGCCCUCUUACAAAGCCAACAUGCUCUCGCAUGCUGCUAGGCUGGAACUAGUUAGAUAG
rnacentral:rRNA from 1 species